UGAUCCAGGAUUUUCGAAUGCUGGCUAAGCCUUCUGUGAGCAAGUUCUUGAUCUUGUCAUCUUCCACAUCUGCUGCAUUAAACUGUCAAUUCGAUGAAGAAUAUUAAAGUGCUCAAUCAAUCACCAUGGGGAGGACAAUUUCACAUGAGAGUGUGAUCAAAAGGAACCUCAAUGAGAAUUACAGCUGCAAAAACUAAAAGGCAGCAUGAAAAGGAAACUCAGUACUUCAGCCAAGAUCCAUAUAUAAGCACUUUUGAGCUGCAUUAUAAUCACAAAGAAGGCGAUUCCAGUGUGGAAGCAUCGCAGUAUUCUACUUGCCAAAAGCAACUGAACAAAGUGGAACAAGGUUGCAAACUCAAUUAUAAGAUGACGGUUACAUCUUCAAAACCUUGAAGAACUGCGCAGUAUUAUGCAGUACAGCACAGUUGAAUUUCACUGUUGUGUCUAGUGAUAUAGGUUACAGUGUUGUUUAUAAUACUUCUACUAAAGUGUUAAAUUGUCUUGCCGUUUUUGGUAUAUCAUUAUCAUGUUGCAGUAAACAGCUAACUAACUCAUUAUUAUAGAACAAUAAGAAUCUGACACCUGAUCCAUCUCCAGCAUGACAAUGAAGGACUAAGUGCAUGACUGUAACACAUUAAUCUAUGAUCAAAAAAAUGUUAACAGCUUUAUUUUCUCAUAUCAUGGUCUGUG